CCAUUAGGGGACAGUAGCGAGCCAACUAUUUAACUUCAAAGGCUCGGACUACGCGUUCUUUUCGAUUUCGGCCUGCUGCAAUUGAAGACAUGGAGAAUCUAGCCCUUCACCAUUUUGUCCCACUGCUUUCUAGCAGACCCUAUGCUGACCCCUUGCCACAUUGUGAUCACCUGGGCAUGCUUUGUGGAGGAUGACUGUCAUGUAUUUAUGUUAUUAACGAAGAGAACUUGGAUGAAUCAUGUCUCAUUCGUGCCUGAAAUCUUGUGUGGUGAUGACUCCCAUCAGAUUUAAGAGUUUGAUGUGCCAACAUGGUAUUCUGCAUGGUCUGAUCCAUGAUGCUUCCAACAUCCCUGUCUGAGGACACAUCGUUGCACCCACCAUCUGGAUGAAUGCUCAAGGUGGAACAUGAAAAGGCUCUUCUGUCAAGAUCGUUUGGGUGUUAACUAUAUGGCAGCCUGCUGUCCCAUCUGCAAGAGAAACUGAUGCCUCGUGGGGACUGCCGACCCAGCCGCAUGUUUUUGGAGAAUCCACAACCUGCUGUGGUACGAUUUAGUGACUUGAGUUUGACAAGCAAAUUAAUGAAACGAGACCCCAGACUGUUCAUUUUCUUUUCUAUAUUCAUUGUGACAUUAUGAUGGCUGUGGGCUGUUAAACAAAUGGCAGUUCCAAUUUCUACUUGUCUUCAUUAUGAAAUAUCAUUGUAAUUACAUAAGCUGUAAUUAAUUACAUAUUUACGAUAAUGGGUCACGGUACUGUUAUUUCAGAAUAUUUCAAAUGCCAUGACUCAUCACAGGAAGCCAUGGGUGGUAUGCAACACACACAUACAGCAGAGAAGUGAAUUUCCCCUGAUAGUUAUAAUUAUGAAAUUAAUCCAAAGCAAAUUUAUUGCACGAGUUAUUCCAACAUGAAACAGUUAAACAUUUCAGCAAUGGCAGACAUGAAAUACAAAGCUAAAAAAAAUAAUUAAAGCACUGUAAAACCAUCAAAACAUUGGUCCUUGUGCAUUAUGUUGGCAGUCAUGCCUCUUCCAAAAUAUACUGCUAAAACAUUUUAUCUUAACAUGUUACAAAUAAGUCAAGGAACAAAUGGUUUGCCACACACCACAUCAGAAAGAAUGUGCACACUUAAGAAUAAACCCCCAAAGAAAAACAACCUUGUCCAGUAAAGCCACCAGAAAACCUGCUGACAUCUGUUGUAUUUUGAGACCACAGGCCAGUCAUGAAGGGAGCCUCCAUCCAACCAAAUUGUGAUUUUGAAUUGCUCUAAUCGUCUGUCUUUUCCUCACCUUGGUAAUGUCGAUACUCAGGCUUUAGCUCCCAAGUGUUCUUAUGCGUGCCCUUCACAUUGUAGAUGCCAAUAUCACGCAGGAUUUCCUUCAAAUAAAUCUGUGAUGACAAGAGUAGGUUUUAAAAAAAAUAUACAAAUGUUGAUACCAAACUUCAGUUUCUUGGGGGAACUGUUUUGGUCUUGAAGCAGACUGCAAAGGCCGAGCAGCUAUCUUAUAAACAUCCUACAUGAAGGACCACACUCCCGAUUACCAUGGUGAUGAGGAAACUAAAAAUGUAAUGAUAUUUAUAUAGCAUUUUUUUUUUAUUUAUAAAAUGCAAACGCAAUGGCAGUUAAAGACCAGCUUUAUUUUAAUAAGCCCACUAUAUUAAUUUAUCUGACUUCAGUUUCCUUUACGAUAUAGAAAUGUUAAUUACUGUGUACUUCGGCAGUUUUUCAGCUGUUACCAUGGACAAAAUAGCAGUCACUGAGGAUAAAAUAAAUUAUCUUUGCACUCAGAAUCAGCUUCAAUCAGCGACAAACUGGUCAAAUACAAAGUUCUUCGAAAAUGUCCCAAGAUAAGCCAUUUCAGAGAUUUGUGCCUUACCACGGGCUGUUUGGUGAUAUCAACCAGGUCUUUGAUGUUGUAGUAUUGGUGCUUCUCAAAAGCAGAAAACAACAUGUCCAACACGUGCUGUUUGUCAGCUCUUGCUCGCUUGCCCUCCUCCUUCUUUUUCCUCUCAUACUCCAUCUAACAGACAAAGCACAUAACACCACAAUAGUUUUUCAUUAGUAAACAUCGACGAAAAAUACACUCACCAGCCACAGUACCAGUACCGCCUAAUGUCUGGCUUUAUUGUUGGUUGUAUGUAUUUUUCUACUUCGGAUACUGCUUUAUCAUGAUUGUUAAACUUUCCCCUUCAAUUUGGUAUUAAAUGAAUAUGAAUAUAUUGACUGGACAAAAGGCUCAAAUUCAAGCCAUUCAAACGGAAGGAUGCCAACAUCAGACUGGAAUAAAAGAUAUGUAGGAUGAUAACUUAUCUAUUUAUCUUUGCUCAUGUGAAACUACCAACAUGUGACCAUGCAAAAUAAAAAAAAAAUGGACUGAAUUAUGGUUAAAGUGAAUUAACCAAUUCAUCAUGUUCAAUAUUUCAAGUUAAGAUCAAAAAAGGUUAUUGUUUUAUAAGUGUGCAGGAGUUUGGGGUACAUGGUUCAAGUCAAACGUGUGAAAGUGUACGCAACUGUAAAAGGUUUGUGAACCACCGGCCUAACAGUAUCUCGUAUAAGAGGAGUAUCAACAUUGCUGCCUUAAGAAAAUAGUGCUUGUUAAUGUGUCAAUCAAAUUUUUUUCAUCUUUGGAACUGGAUAUCAUUAGAUUAUGUAGGAGUAUCCAAUACUGUGGCCCUUGAGAUUCUUGCAUGAUUCAUGAUGUGUAGAAUGAGCUGAUCUGAAAGAAGACAAAUACUCUUACAUUGUACGCAUGGUUAGCCACAGGUUUGUAGUUGUUGGUGACUGCUUUAGCCAAUUGCUGCGAAAGCCGAACUGGCUUGGAUGACUCUUCAAUUUGUAACCUGUAACGUGACCACAUUACAUUUAAAAUUAUAUACACAUUUACUUGACAAUUGCACUUUAACUCUGCUAUGAACAAUCAAUCGUUGCUACAGACAUAUGUGGACAAAAUUGUUGGUACCCCUCAGUUAACGGGAAAAAAAAAACCCACAAUGGUCACAGAAGUAACUUGAAUCUAACAUAAAAAUAAAAAUUCAAUGUAAAUGAACCAAUGAAAAAUCAGACAUUGCUUUUGAACUGUGGUUCAACAGAAUUAUUAAAAAAAUAAACUCAUGAAACAGGCCUGGACAAAAAUUAUAGUACUGCCUGAAAUGAAAAUGUGACCACUGAUGAUGUGCCCUAGUUUUGCAUUUGAUGAUGUAUCAUUACAAUUAUUCUGUGGCUGCUUUCCUGCAUCUGGUACAGGGUGUCUUGAAUCUGUGCAGGGUAUGACUAUCAAGGUACUGGUAUUCUCGAGAGAAACGUGCUGCCCAGUGUCAGAAAUCUUGGUCUCAGUUGCGGGUCAUGGGUCUUGCAACAGGCUAAUGACCCAAAACACAGCUAAAAACAUCAAAGAAUGGCUAACAGCAAAACAUUGGACUGUUUUGAAGUGGCCUUCUAUGAGCUCUGGUCGAAAUCUGUGGAAGGACCAGAAGCAUGUCGUCUGGAGAAGGCACCCUUCAAACCUGAGACAAUUGGAGCAGUUGGGGUACCAUCUUUUUUGUCCAGGUCCGUUUUAUGAGUAUAUUUUAUAAAAUAAUUCUGUUGAACCACAGUUCCAAAGCAAUGUGUAAUUUUCAUUAAAUUCUUACAUGUUAUUACUUUCGUCAGAUUCAAGUUACUUUUGGGGCCAUUGUGGGUUUUUCCUUUUAUCAAUGACGGGGUACCAACAAUUUUGUCCACGUGUGUAAUCAAAUCACACUCAAGACACAAACCACUCACCUCUUAAGCUUCAUAUAGCUUUCACUAACAGCAGGUCUGCACUCUGCUCUCUGUACCACUACUCCUUCCAAAGCAAUUUUAUCUGGGGGGGGGGUAAAUCACAACUUUAGUUCCAACCCUGAAAUUAGUGUUAAGUGAAGUUUAAGACAUAGGUAUAUAAGAACCAUUGUCUUCUAUAUCGGUCACAUUGUUGUUCUUGUGAAGUCAUGUUUGCUCAUGGUGCUCUUUCAAAGGAAGGAACCAAAAACAGGGCGGUGUCUUCUUCCCAUUCUUGUUUGAAAAAAUCAUGUAUUUUAUUCUUCUAUUGUAUUACUCCUGAAUGUAUUACAAGUAGGGAUGCUCCGAUUAUGCUGCUGAUUCCGAUUAUCCAUGAGUGAGAUCGUCCAAUUUAUUUAUGAUGAGUGGUAUUAGUCGGGGGCGCUGUUAGACAAUUCCAAGGGCCACUGCCAAAUUAAAACAAUUUUUUUUUUUGCCUUUAUUUGUCUGAAACAAUUUUUGUACUAUCUGACGCAAACCUGAAUUUAAUUUCAUGAAUGUCUUGGAGUAAUAAGAAUACAUGGGAAUUAAACUGUUCAAUAAUUAUUUUUUAGAUAACAAAAAAAAUAAAAAUUAACAGAAUAAAUUCAGUAUCCAGGUUGCUGGGGUCUCCAACUUUCAUCUCUAUUAGAGCUGUCAACUAUUUGUGUUUUAUUUAUUACUGGCAACAUUGAAAUUGUACACUACUUUAUUUAACAAGCUCUCAACUCAGUGUGGCCAUGGUCUUAAUGCUAUUUUGUGGUCAUUUGUCAUUAUAUAAAAGGCAUAAAGUCUGAAUUCAACAGUUAUAAUAAUAGACUACCAAGAGUUGAAGCAAAUAUUCUUGGACCCUUUGGUGAGCUACUCUAUCAGCUUGUGAGAUUGGAGACCCCUGUGAUAAUAUCACCAUCAUAAGGCUGGACAUACUAUGUGUUUAUAUUCAUUAAACAACCACACACAAAUUGUGUUUCGAGGACAAGAAAUAAUUUGUAUAAUGACGAGAGUAAAGUUGCUUCAUGACACUUGAAAAAGUUAGUACACACCCCAUGAACGUGAUGUCCACUUGUAGAUUCCCAGCGGGACAAAAACGAGCUCCGAACUAACAGCAUUGCUUGUUUGUUUCAAAAACAAUGUCACUGUGGUAAAAAGUCACAUUUGGAGUCCAAAGGCCAGAAGCUAGGUAGAUAACGCUAGGUAACUGCUAGCUAGCUAGUACAGCCAGUGACAGGCAAAGCGUGCAACAAAAAUGUAAGAAUAGUCGAACGGAGAUAUACAUAGAUGUGGUAAGGGAGUGAUCAAACAAGCUGGCAUCGAUUGGCCUCGCCUGUGUCAAGCUCAAUACGGGUCAUUUUGUUGGCAACCCUACGUGACACCGCAGACAUGUAGGAUUUGCCGCUGCAUGCCGAUCAGUUUUGUGAUAAUCUUUGAAUGGCGUUUAUCGGUAUACGCCGAUCACAUUUUUUUUUUUUUACAGAAAUGGGCCGAUCGAUCGCAGCAUCCCUAAUUAGAAGGCAGGUAAAAAUGUAGUUCCUCCAAGUUGACCAGCUCCAGAAAGACUUGCUGAUCACAAGCGGACAAUCACAGUAACAGUCUAUACAUACAUUAUCGACAGUCCUAUGGUGCACCCGUUACUAAGUAUGAAACGUUUCAACCGAUGUCAGUGUUACUCAAGUUGAUCUUACGUACCUGAAUAUGUAUCUUAUAUACAGUAAUGUGUUACUGAGGUGACCAGUCGCCUUGUGGUUUUACACCACUUUACAGUAUGCAUCCUGCAAGUAAUUAUAGCCGAUUUUGGGCCAAAAACGUGACUUCCGUCAAGCCAGUGAUCCAUGCAGGGCAUCUCAUAUGUUGGCAUUUUGCACAGAAAUGUUUGGGUCAAGAGGUCAACAUGUUGCUUCGGGCUUUUUACCUGAAGGUUUAUGCCAACUUUGGCAUAUUUCAGGGCAACAAACAACACAAUAUUGGUAUUUCACUGAUUGAUUUAAAAUGACACUCAUAUGAUU